rnacentral:rRNA from 1 species
GGGGAAUAUUGCGCAAUGGAGGAAACUCUGACGCAGCGACGCCGCGUGAAGGAUGAAGGCUUUCGGGUUGUAAACUUCUGUCCUCAGGGAAGAGAAAGGACGGUACCUGAGGAGGAAGCCACGGCUAACUACGUGCCAGCAGCCGCGGUAAUACGUAGGUGGCAAGCGUUGUCCGGAAUUACUGGGUGUAAAGGGCGUGUAGGCGGGAAUGCAAGUUGGAUGUGAAAUACCAGGGCUCAACCCUGGGGGUGCAUCCAAAACUGUGUUUCUUGAGUACUGGAGAGGAAAGUGGAAUUCCUAGUGUAGCGGUGAAAUGCAUAGAUAUUAGGAGGAACACCAGUGGCGAAGGCGGCUUUCUGGACAGUAACUGACGCUGAGGCGCGAAAGCACGGGGAGCAAAC